rnacentral:rRNA from 1 species
UGAUGGAGCACGCCGCGUGAGUGAAGAAGGGUUUCGGCUCGUAAAACUCUGUUGUUAAAGAAGAACAUAUCUGAGAGUAACUGUUCAGGUAUUGACGGUAUUUAACCAGAAAGCCACGGCUAACUACGUGCCAGCAGCCGCGGUAAUACGUAGGUGGCAAGCGUUGUCCGGAUUUAUUGGGCGUAAAGCGAGCGCAGGCGGUUUUUUAAGUCUGAUGUGAAAGCCUUCGGCUCAACCGAAGAAGUGCAUCGGAAACUGGGAAACUUGAGUGCAGAAGAGGACAGUGGAACUCCAUGUGUAGCGGUGAAAUGCGUAGAUAUAUGGAAGAACACCAGUGGCGAAGGCGGCUGUCUGGUCUGUAACUGACGCUGAGGCUCGAAAGUAUGGGUAGCAAACAGGAUUAGAUACCCUGGUAGUCCAUACCGUAAACGAUGAAUGCUAAGUGUUGGAGGGUUUCCGCCCUUCAGUGCUGCAGCUAACGCAUUAAGCAUUCCGCCUGGGGAGUACGGCCGCAAGGCUGAAACUCAAAGGAAUUGACGGGGGCCCGCACAAGCGGUGGAGCAUGUGGUUUAAUUCGAAGCUACGCGAAGAACCUUACCAGGUCUUGACAUACUAUGCAAAUCUAAGAGAUUAGACGUUCCCUUCGGGGACAUGGAUACAGGUGGUGCAUGGUUGUCGUCAGCUCGUGUCGUGAGAUGUUGGGUUAAGUCCCGCAACGAGCGCAACCCUUAUUAUCAGUUGCCAGCAUUAAGUUGGGCACUCUGGUGAGACUGCCGGUGACAAAACCG